rnacentral:rRNA from 1 species
UACGUAUGGUGCAAGCGUUAUCCGGAUUUACUGGGUGUAAAGGGAGCGCAGGCGACACGGCAAGCCUGAUGUGAAAGCCCGCGGCCCAACCGCGGGACUGCAUUGGGAACUACCGGGCUGGAGUGCCGGAGAGGUAGGCGGAAUUCCUAGUGUAGCGGUGAAAUGCGUAGAUAUUAGGAGGAACACCAGUGGCGAAGGCGGCCUACUGGACGGUGACUGACGCUGAGGCUCGAAAGCGUGGGGAGCAAACAGG